rnacentral:rRNA from 1 species
GACGAACGCUGGCGGCGUGCUUAACACAUGCCAGUCGAACGGAAAGGCCCUGCUUUUGUGGGGUGCUCGAGUGGCGAACGGGUGUGUAACACGUGAGUAACCUGCCCUUGACUUUGGGAUAACUUCAGGAAACUGGGGCUAAUACCGGAUAGGAGCUCCUGCUGCAUGGUGGGGGUUGGAAAGUUUCGGCGGUUGGGGAUGGACUCGCGGCUUAUCAGCUUGUUGGUGGGGUAGUGGCUUACCAAGGCUUUGACGGGUAGCCGGCCUGAGAGGGUGACCGGCCACAUUGGGACUGAGGUACGGCCCAGACUCCUACGGGAGGCAGCAGUGGGGAAUAUUGCACAAUGGGCGGAAGCCUGAUGCAGCAACGCCGCGUGCGGGAUGACGGCCUUCGGGUUGUAAACCGCUUUCGCCUGUGACGAAGCGUGAGUGACGGUAUUGGGUAAAGAAGCACCGGCUAACUACGUG